rnacentral:tRNA from 1 species
GGAAGAGUGGUCUGGUGGUUAGGACGCUACCCUAGGAAUCUGGAAAUGUGGGUUCAAUUCCUUUCUCUACCA